rfam:Blastomyces gilchristii SLH14081 mitochondrial scaffold supercont1.101, whole genome shotgun sequence.
GGAAAAGUCGCUAAUGGUAAAGCAAGAUAUUUGCUAAAUAUUAUGUUUAUACAUUUAGAUGUUCGAGUCAUCUCUUUUCCG